rnacentral:rRNA from 1 species
GAUGAACGCUAGCGGCAGGCCUAACACAUGCAAGUCGAGGGAGGAGCUUUCGGGCUUCGACCGGCGUACGGGUGCGUAACGCGUAUACAAUCUGCCUUUCACAUAGGGAUAGCCCGAAGAAAUUUGGAUUAAUACCUAAUGGUAUAUAGAGGUGGCAUCACCUUUAUAUUAAAGCUGAGGCGGUGAAAGAUGAGUAUGCGUUCUAUUAGCUAGUUGGAGAGGUAACGGCUCCCCAAGGCGACGAUAGAUAGGGGUUCUGAGAGGGAUAUCCCCCACACUGGUACUGCGAUACGGACCAGACUCCUACGGGAGGCAGCAGUGAGGAAUAUUGGACAAUGGUCGGAAGACUGAUCCAGCCAUGCCGCGUGCAGGAAGACGGCCUUAUGGGUUGUAAACUGCUUUUGCAGGGGAAGAAUAAGGACUACGCGUAGUUUGAUGACGGUACUCUGAGAAUAAGCAUCGGCUAACUCCGUG